UACGGGGGGAGCAAGCGUUGUUCGGAUUUACUGGGCGUAAAGGGCGCGUAGGCGGUCAGCACAAGUCAGUUGUGAAAUCUCCGGGCUUAACUCGGAAAGGUCAACUGAUACUGUGCGACUAGAGUGCGGAAGGGGCAACUGGAAUUCUCGGUGUAGCGGUGAAAUGCGUAGAUAUCGAGAGGAACACCUGCGGCUAAGGCGGGUUGCUGGGCCGACACUGACGCUGAUGCGCGAAAGCCAGGGGAGCGAACGGG
rnacentral:rRNA from 1 species